rnacentral:rRNA from 1 species
GGGUAGCGGAACACGUACGCAACCUUCCUUUAACUGGAGAAUAGCCCCUCGAAAGAGGGAUUAAUACUCCGUAACAUGAUGAUAAGGCAUCUUAUUAUUAUUAUAGCUCCGGCGGUUAAAGAUAGGCGUGCGCCUGAUUAGGUAGUUGGCGGGGUAAUGGCCCACCAAGCCUGCGAUCAGUAACUGGUGUGAGAGCACGACCAGUCACACGGGCACUGAGACACGGGCCCG